rnacentral:lncRNA from 1 species
CUUGCUAUUUUUUCUGAGGUUUUAUGGUCUCCUUUUCUGUCCUUUAUUUAAAAAAAAAAAAAUUUAUGUUUUCCUUCGUUCCACUCAUCAUCCCAGUUAGGCUUGGCUGCAGCGGUCCUCAGACCCUCCUUUUCAGCAGUUGCCCCUCUGGUUCAGGGAGCUCGCGUGUCACUGGCAGUCAGGUCCGCCGUCAGCACUCACUCCCAGCAGUGUCGGGGAGAAGAUAAAGUGUCUGGGACUGCAGUGCUCUGAGGAUCUCUUCCCACUGCGUUAGUGUACAUGGCACCGACAGCUUGUCUAGGCUAAAGUAUCCAUAGUUCCUUCCUUCCUUCAACAACCAGUUACUAAAUGUGAACGUUACAAGUUCCUCGAGGGCGAAUCCUCAUAACUCAGCAAAUAUUUAUUAGUUGCUGAAUUCCUGGGUGCUGGGGUGAGAGCAUUUAAAUAAGGAAAGGGAACCUGCCCGCAGGCCACUUCCCCAAUAGUGAUUGAUAGGCAACUGACAUGUAACAAACAAGACCUUUCACCUCUGAACCUGUGACGUGAUAGACAGUGACCUGAACUGGUAGGGAUGGUGAGUUGUGCCCUGGAAGAUGCCUGCCAUGUGAAGAUCUAGGAAAAGAACAUCCCUGGCUGAAGAGAGAGCAGAUGCAAAGGCCCCUGAGAGGGAACCAGCUCAGAGGCUUUGAACAGCAGAAGGUCCACAUGCCACCAGCUCAGUGAGGGAGGGGUGUAGAAAGUGCAGCAAAUGCAAAACAACUCAUGUGGUUUCUGUUUUUCUGACUGGCCACCAACUGAUCCACAUCCCUCUGAGACUGAUCACCACAUGCAAGGCUGGCUGUGGAAGAUGAAGUUUGUUCUUGGAUCCAGG